GGUGAUGGUAUGAUCGCAUCUGUUACUACAUGCAAUGCAAUCGUAUCUAUUUUUUUUUGAAGAUUUUAUGAUCCAUUUGCAGUGUGUCCCACCAGCUAUGUAGGAAUACCCUAUCUUGUUUAUAAGAGCUUUGAUACAUGCAAAAUAUUCGAAAACAAUGUCCGAACAUAUAAUUUUUGUCCCGUAAUAUAGCAAAGAUCACGAAAAGACCAGAAAAAAUACAUUUCGGUCAAAAUUUGGAGUAGAAAAAAAACCCUUCCUCAUUCAUUGGACAGCUCUCUUUGGGCUUUCCGAAAAGGUAUCACAUGCCAAGUUUGGUCUCACGGUUUAAAAGUUAUAGAGUCAUACAUUUUUCACAAAAAAAAGAAGAGAAAAAACAA
rnacentral:sRNA from 1 species